GGGGCUGACCGGUUUUGACAGCGUGUAGAGGUGGUGAGUAAGCAUGCAGAGCAAUGAUGGCUACGCUCUAUAAUCAGAGACAUCAACAAUUUUAAAUGGCGAAAACAACUACGCUCUCGCUGCCUGAUUGAAGCACAGUAGAUCAGCUUUAUCGGCGCAAUAGUUGCGCCGACGAGACAUCACCCGAUUGUCGUCGUCCCGAGACUAAUCGACAAGGUGGUGCAGUUAAAUCGGGAAUAGGCAGGUCGACGCCUCGGCCUCCUGCCGAAAAUUUAGAGGAUAAGGUGCCGUUUGGUGGCCACGGGCCGGGCGACACACGAAAACCAACUUGUGGAUAAGCAUGUAGAAAGCUCAUUAGUUCCGCGUUUGGACGAGGGUUCGAAUCCCUCCAGCUCCACUA
rfam:Prevotella sp. CAG:1031 genomic scaffold, scf66